UGAGAUCAUCUUUGGAAACGGAUGUGAUAUUUUCAAGAAAGGUUAGUCAUUUAUAGAUACAAUUUGUUCUCUAUUCUCUUUAUCCCUAAUCAAAUUUCUAGUUGGAUGGAAAGGGCUAACAUCCUUAGCGGUGGAAUCUACAUCUUUACAAAGGAUUAAUCGACCUCUAGUAAGAUUUGUUCCUUAUUCUCUUUAUCCCAUAUAUCUUGAUGAAAGAUCUCGAUUCAAAUGUUUGCACUUUCAUGUGGUAUAGAGUUGGAUUAAUCAUUUUUCUUUCAACUUGUAAAAGCUUAACCCCAAUCAAAUCUGUUAUUGGAUAAAAAGGGGAACCAUCCUUUAUAGUGGAUUCAACAUCUUCAAGAAGGAUAAGUUGUUCUUAAGUAUGAUUUGUUCAAUAUUGUCUCUAUCCUCUGCAUUUCUAUAAGGAUCUUGAUGUGUGUGAUUAUGCUUUCACAAGAUUUUAGAGUUGGAUUAACCCUUCAUUUCUCUAAAUUUUAAGACCCUAAUCAAAUUUGUUGUUGGACAGAAAGCAGAACCAGCAUCUUCAGAAAGGAUUGGUUCUUUUCAAAAAGGGAAUCAUCCUUAGUAGUCCCUCAACAUCUUUAGAAAGGAAUAGUCAUCCUCAGUUGCAAAAUCUUCAAACUAACCCAAAUCAAGUUUGUUGCUGAACAAAAAGAGUGUCAAUAGUAGAUCCAAUAUCUUCAAGAAAAAAAAAUUGGUCGCUCUAAGUUGAGGUGCAUAGCAAAUUUUAAGGAUUGUCCGACUUUGAUAUUUAAG